GAUGAACGCUAGCGGCAGGCCUAAUACAUGCAAGUCGAACGGGAUCCAGAUCAAAGCUUGCUUUGGUUUGGUGAGAGUGGCGCACGGGUGCGUAACGCGUGAGCAACCUACCCUUGUCAGGGGGAUAGCCCGGCGAAAGUCGGAUUAAUACCGCAUGACAUCAUUGAUAGGCAUCUUUCGAUUAUCAAAUAUUUAUCGGACAAGGAUGGGCUCGCGUGACAUUAGCUAGUUGGUAAGGUAACGGCUUACCAAGGCUACGAUGUCUAGGGGCUCUGAGAGGGGAAUCCCCCAGACUGGUACUGAGACACGGACCAGACUCCUACGGGAGGCAGCAGUAAGGAAUAUUGGUCAAUGGACGGAAGUCUGAACCAGCCAUGCCGCGUGAAGGAAGACGGCCAUAUGGGUUGUAAACUGCUUUUAUACGGGAACAAACGUCGGUACGUGUACCGGUCUGAGUGUACCGUAAGAAUAAGGAUCGGCUAACUCCGUG
rnacentral:rRNA from 1 species